UACGAAGGGGGCUAGCGUUGUUCGGAAUUACUGGGCGUAAAGCGCACGUAGGCGGGUUCUUAAGUCAGGGGUGAAAUCCUGGAGCUCAACUCCAGAACUGCCUUUGAUACUGGGAAUCUCGAGUUCGGGAGAGGUGAGUGGAACUGCGAGUGUAGAGGUGAAAUUCGUAGAUAUUCGCAAGAACACCACUGGCGAAGGCGGCUCACUGGCCCGAUACUGACGCUGAGGUGCGAAAGCGUGGGGAGCAAACAGG
rnacentral:rRNA from 1 species